GGCACGAUGGUGGACCUCAGCGCCCUCCUCUCCUUCUAGAGGCGUUGUGGCUAUGGGAAGAGCCGACGCAGCCAUCCCGUGGUCCGUCCUUUCUCAAGCUGAGGAGAGGACGUGCGCGUGGGUGCCGGCAGAGCGGCCGGAUUGGGGUGGUGACCAUGACUCGCUGCAGUGGUUCCGCCUCCUCUCAGCCUAGAGCCUACGCCUGCCUCGCCUUGCCAAUCGUGGCUGGCUUCCUCCUCUUCCCUGACGCCGGCCAUCGCAGAAGGAUGCAACAAGGACGCUCCGGUGCUCUAGAAGGCGGCAGAGCCCGGGGGAUGGUGGUGAGGGGCACAUGAGAGGAUUGAGUUUCAGUUGAUGAUGGCAAAAUUUCUUAACGGACUAUUUCUGAUAAAUUAUCUCAGGAAUCUCCUAAUGAAAAGGAUGGGCCGUUUAAUGUUGAUUCAGACAAAGACACGACACUGAUGGCAUGGAGUGGUUGCGGCAUUGCAGAGACCUAUAUGCUAUUUCAAUUGAAAGGGAAACAUCAAAACAGUGGUGCAAACCAAUGAACCUGCUGUUGGAGACGACAGUACCCACACCAUAUGAAAUCAAUGGUCUUCACAAGAUCAUGGACUGUGACAUGUUAUUGACAAAAGAAGAGCAUGAGACACAGAUUGUCUUCCAGAUAAAGUCUGCGAGUAGUAUGCAGAUUAAUAAAAGUUUCUAAAGACUCAAAUAUUACAUCACCUCUCCACUCCAUUGGUGUUGGUUCUCUCAACUUGACGCCUAUUUAUUUGGAUUUUGAUAUCCAAUGUCCUGCAGCCAUGGAGUGUUGUCAGGUAUAUUUCUAUCCAUGUUUGUGUGCAAAUUUCAGAGUAUGUGUGCAACCGAAGAAGACCCCUUCCUCCACUCUGAUUUUGAAUUGCUUGGUCAAGAGAAUAAGAGGAAGACAAUACAGGUAUAAAUUGCUUAUUAUGGUGCCGAUUGUGGAGAUGUUUUGGGUCAUCUUGCUGAAGAUUCCCUAUGAAGGCAGGCUGAUAUAAUGGUAGUAGAAUCUUAAUAUUUGGCUUGAUCUGUACUACCAGAGAUAUCGAGGUUUAAUGAACUGUAUGUCCUGGAUGUUACAGUGGCACAUACUUUUGUUUCGGGAGGUAACAUUUUCCCAGCUUCUCAAGGUUUAUCUCCGGAGAGGCUGGAGGGGGUGAUGUGUUCAUGGAGUUCAGUAACACAGUAGAAUCUGGUUUGCCACAUUAUUUUUCUCAAGAUAUUAGGUUUUCAAAUGUUGCUUCCCAUGGAUCUGAUAGACAUGGUGAGCUAAUUUUAUGUAUCAGUUAGGUCAUAAGAUGUCCAUGAACUUCUUCUAUUUUGCCUACUACAUAAGGUUUAUGUUGUAUAUAGACCAGCAAACUGGAAUAGUGGGCCUAUCAAUGUUGAAUUCACAAGGCCUGAAUAUGGAGACAUAUAUUUUUACAUGAAAUAGUUGUUUCUAGAAUUUUUUAUGUUCCUAUUACAGGCUGUUGAUGCACACUGUUUUAUAACAGGAUGAUGCUGUGUGCUACUUUGUUGAGUGGUUGAUUGCAGAAUGGAAGGGCUGGGGUGCCAUCACGAUGAACAGCGACGAGCUAUGAAGAGUAUUAGAAGUGGGACUACAGCCAUGAGAUUCUCUGAUGUCUGGAAGAGGCAAGCUAGAGCAUUCCAUUCCUCUAUGGUUAGGAAGCACACCUCGCUGUAGACAUCGCCUGACGGCCAAGAAACAAAGGGGGGCUUCAAAAGGGCUUCCUUUCCGCCUUGGUUUCAGAACUUGUGUUCAUGUUAUUAGCUAUAGAAAUGCAACUGUGUUGUGUAUGGAAAUGGGGUUGCGACAAAGCAGAGCUCAUUGCACUGCGCCCUCACAUAUCCCCAUCAGCUACAUGGGCCACAUCACCUCCUGCGGCAGCCUUGGCGCUCCAGGGCGAUUCGAGCAACGCCCGGAGCCAUCUCGGGCAUCUGUGUGGCGUUGGACGUCGAAAACUCAACGGGAAACGGUGGCCUCAAGCGCGGGUCUGUCUUAAGUCCAUGUGCAUUCUGUCCCACCGGUGCCCGGCAGCGUCGACGACCAUUUUCUCCUUCCACUGUCUUCUUUUCAUCGCCCCAGCCAGAUGUACUUCCGGCAAGAAGGGUGUAGGAUGAAGAAUAUGAUGAUGAUACUGAGGCUGGACAGGUCAGUGCAAUCACUAAUGAAACCCUUACUGUUAGUUAGUUCUCCACGAGCAUACAAAAUGUAAGAAAGCAGGAGAAUAACUCAAUAGUUAAUUCUCCAUGAGCACCUCAACUAUUUCUCAUGUUGCAAUCUAUUGUCGCUCUUAUUUUCUGAACUGGACGCUACUGGAUCGUCGCUUCCAGUAUAAAACAAUCGACAAUACAUAGUAGCCCUCCAGCGUGUCUGUUGUAUUUGUCUUCCACCUGAUGUGAGUACAUAUUUAGAUAUCUACAGGUAAUAAUAGCUGAGGUGUAUUUUAUUUCUACCAGUUAGGACAUGUGCUCUUCGCAUUGAUUUAGCCCGAGUAGGUUUCUUACUCUAUUCCAGCUACAUCAAUAGAGAAUACUCUUUUUGAUUCUU